rnacentral:rRNA from 1 species
GACAGAGGUGCCGAGCGUUAGGCGGAAUCACUGGGCUUAAAGCGUGUGUAGGCGGAUCUGUAAGUACCUUGUGAAAUCCCACGGCUCAACCGUGGAACUGCUUGGUAUACUGCGGGUCUUGAGCCACCUAGGGGCAAGUGGAACAAACGGUGGAGCGGUGAAAUGCGUAGAUAUCGUUUGGAACGCCAAUGGUGAAAACAACUUGCUGGGGGUGUGCUGACGCUGAGGCGCGACAGCGUGGGGAGCGAACCGG